AGAGUUUGAUCCUGGCUCAGGAUGAACGCUAGCGGCAGGCCUAACACAUGCAAGUCGAGGGGUAACAGAGAUUGCUUGCAAUCUGCUGACGACCGGCGCACGGGUGCGUAACGCGUAUGCAACCUACCUCUAACAGGAGGAUAGCCCCGAGAAAUCGGGAUUAAUACUCCAUAAUAUUUUGAAGCCGCAUGGUUUUGAUCUUAAAGAAUUUCGGUUAGAGAUGGGCAUGCGUCCCAUUAGCUAGUUGGUAAGGUAACGGCUUACCAAGGCUACGAUGGGUAGGGGGCCUGAGAGGGUGAUCCCCCACACUGGUACUGAGACACGGACCAGACUCCUACGGGAGGCAGCAGUGAGGAAUAUUGGUCAAUGGACGCAAGUCUGAACCAGCCAUGCCGCGUGAAGGGUGAAGGCUCUAGUAGUCGUAAACUUCUUUUAUUUGGGAAGAAACCCCCUUACGUGUAAGGGGCUGACGGUACCAAACGAAUAAGGACCGGCUAACUCCGUGCCAGCAGCCGCGGUAAUACGGAGGGUCCAAGCGUUAUCCGGAAUCAUUGGGUUUAAAGGGUGCGUAGGCGGUAGAUUAAGUCAGUGGUGAAAGCCUGCAGCUCAACUGUGGAACUGCCAUUGAUACUGAUUUACUUGAAUAUAGUCGAAGUGGGCGGAAUGUGUCAUGUAGCGGUGAAAUGCAUAGAUAUGACACAGAACACCAAUUGCGAAGGCAGCUCACUAGCCUAUUAUUGACGCUGAGGCACGAAAGCGUGGGUAGCGAACAGGAUUAGAUACCCUGGUAGUCCACGCCGUAAACGAUGAUCACUCGACAUUGGCGAUAAACAGUCAGUGUCCAAGCGAAAGUAUUAAGUGAUCCACCUGGGGAGUACGAUCGCAAGGUUGAAACUCAAAGGAAUUGACGGGGGCCCGCACAAGCGGUGGAGCAUGUGGUUUAAUUCGAUGAUACGCGAGGAACCUUACCAGGGCUUAAAUGCUGUCUGACAGGUCUGGAAACAGAUCUUUCUUCGGACAUACAGCAAGGUGCUGCAUGGCCGUCGUCAGCUCGUGCCGUGAGGUGUCGGGUUAAGUCCCAUAACGAGCGCAACCCCUAUCUUUAGUUGCUAGCAGGUAAUGCUGAGGACUCUAAAGAAACUGCCCGUGUAAGCGGAGAGGAAGGUGGGGAUGAUGUCAGGUCAUCACGGCCCUUACGUCCUGGGUUACACACGUGCUACAAUGGCAUAUACAAAGGGCAGCUACCUGGCGACAGGAUGCUAAUCUCUAAAGUAUGUCUCAGUUCGGAUCGGAGUCUGCAACUCGACUCCGUGAAGCUGGAAUCGCUAGUAAUCGGAUAUCAGCCAUGAUCCGGUGAAUACGUUCCCGGGCCUUGUACACACCGCCCGU
rnacentral:rRNA from 1 species